rnacentral:rRNA from 1 species
GAUGAACGCUGGCGGCGUGCCUAAUACAUGCAAGUCGAGCGAACGGACGAGAAGCUUGCUUUUCUGAUGUUAGCGGCGGACGGGUGAGUAACACGUGGAUAACCUACCUAUAAGACUGGGAUAACUUCGGGAAACCGGAGCUAAUACCGGAUAAUAUUUUGAACCGCAUGGUUCAAAAGUGAAAGACGGUCUUGCUGUCACUUAUAGAUGGAUCCGCGCUGCAUUAGCUAGUUGGUAAGGUAACGGCUUACCAAGGCAACGAUGCAUAGCCGACCUGAGAGGGUGAUCGGCCACACUGGAACUGAGACACGGUCCAGACUCCUACGGGAGGCAGCAGUAGGGAAUCUUCCGCAAUGGGCGAAAGCCUGACGGAGCAACGCCGCGUGAGUGAUGAAGGUCUUCGGAUCGUAAAACUCUGUUAUUAGGGAAGAACAUAUGUGUAAGUAACUGUGCACAUCUUGACGGUACCUAAUCAGAAAGCCACGGCUAACUACGUGCCAGCAGCCGCGGUAAUACGUAGGUGGCAAGCGUUAUCCGGAAUUAUUGGGCGUAAAGCGCGCGUAGGCGGUUUUCUAAGUCUGAUGUGAAAGCCCACGGCUCAACCGUGGAGGGUCAUUGGAAACUGGAAAACUUGAGUGCAGAAGAGGAAAGUGGAAUUCCAUGUGUAGCGGUGAAAUGCGCAGAGAUGUGGAGGAACACCAGUGGCGAAGGCGACUUUCUGGUCUGUAACUGACGCUGAUGUGCGAAAGCGUGGGGAUCAAACAGGAUUAGAUACCCUGGUAGUCCACGCCGUAAACGAUGAGUGCUAAGUGUUAGGGGGUUUCCGCCCCUUAGUGCUGCAGCUAACGCAUUAAGCACUCCGCCUGGGGAGUACGACCGCAAGGUUGAAACUCAAAGGAAUUGACGGGGGCCCGCACAAGCGGUGGAGCAUGUGGUUUAAUUCGAAGCAACGCGAAGAACCUUACCAAAUCUUGACAUCCUUUGACAACUCUAGAGAUAGAGCCUUCCCCUUCGGGGGACAAAGUGACAGGUGGUGCAUGGUUGUCGUCAGCUCGUGUCGUGAGAUGUUGGGUUAAGUCCCGCAACGAGCGCAACCCUUAAGCUUAGUUGCCAUCAUUAAGUUGGGCACUCUAAGUUGACUGCCGGUGACAAACCGGAGGAAGGUGGGGAUGACGUCAAAUCAUCAUGCCCCUUAUGAUUUGGGCUACACACGUGCUACAAUGGACAAUACAAAGGGCAGCGAAACCGCGAGGUCAAGCAAAUCCCAUAAAGUUGUUCUCAGUUCGGAUUGUAGUCUGCAACUCGACUACAUGAAGCUGGAAUCGCUAGUAAUCGUAGAUCAGCAUGCUACGGUGAAUACGUUCCCGGGUCU